AGAGGCAUGGGUAGGGGUACUACUUGUUUUCCUCCUGGAGAAGUUGCAGGAGAGUACUAAGCUGUACUUACCUGGGAGGCAACGCACUUCCAUGCCUGUCUCAGCACUGGCUGUACAACCCGGGGCCACUCCAGUGCUGGUGUGGCUGGAGGAACUGCAGUGCAGCGUUAGCAGCCACAGGAAAACAGAGCUGUACUUGCUGCUGCCCUUGGCUGUGUAUGGAAAGUAGCAGCUUUAACCAACGGAGUGCCAACUCAGUUGAGAAGAAUAUGAAGGAUCUGCUCUUUUCAUGUACGGCUGUUAGAUAUUUAACAGAAGGGAAGGAAAGAAUUUGACUUUGAAGACCCGUGCUCCACUGAUUCUUUUAAGUAACUUUUUAUUGGAAUAAGAAAAAGUAUGGCAAUAUUAUGAAACUAAUGCUAUUGCUAAUGUAAAUGUACUCAUCGCUCAUUAGUAUAAACAUGCUUUUAGCGCAGUGAGGGGACAGCACUAAUGUAAAGUGGAAAUAAAGCAAGAAAGUUAGUUGAAAACUAAUCCUCGAUUGGGAACACGACCUGCUGCACGUGCCUGUAACGUGGUAGAAUGUCUCUUGUGCUUUUAAGGCUGAUUGCUAAGGAAAUCUUAUAAAGUUAACAUAACUUUAUUAAUUCUUUGCAGUUACUCUGGGGUUUGUACAGUUUAGUAUCCUUCAAAUAUGUAUACAUAUACUAAAUACAGUUAAAUCUGUUGAUGGAAA